rnacentral:lncRNA from 1 species
UGAGUACUUAUUUUUCUACUUCCAAAAAGUAAGAACAUUACUGAUAUUUCAUGGUAGUUAUAUUCUCAAAGAUAUAUGACAAUUUCCUGAAGGAUUUGGCGCUAACAACUAGAUUGUGAUGACUACUUAUAGAGUUGAUUGAUAAUAUGUUUUUCAUUGUCACUUAUCCAUGUUGUUUGGUCCAAAUAUGUCUGUGACUUGGCUAGAUUGUGAUUACUUCAAAAGAGUUGGUUGAUAAUAUGUUCUUCCUUGUAACUUGUUCGUAUUCUUUGGUCCUAAUAUCUCUAUUAAUUGGAGAUAAAACAAUAUAUAGAUAUUUGAAAUGUAAAUUUACGUUCACAAACAGUCCAUAAUUCCAAUAUCACUAACCUAGAUGUAGAAGCAGCCUUUGGGUUGAUGAUAUAGAUCUGAACUUGCACAUAAAAUAUACGCUCAAUAAAGAACUACUUUUGGUAUCAUUUAUCAUUUGAAUCUAAUUAUGCUAAUAUACUGUUAAAGCUGGGAUGAGAGAGACUCAGUGAUCAUUUGAACAAAUGCUUAUUGCCUUUCAUGGGACUGCAUUAGAAAGAAUCCUAUAUUUAAAAGCUUACAGAAUGUCUGGUUUCAUGUAGACACUAAGUUCCUCACCCUUCUUGCUGUCCAGGGUUAUUUGGUCUUGUUUACCUGGUUGUAAGGAAACGUUUUUGUUCCCUGCCACAGUUGCCUAGUUGGUGCAGUGUUUAACUUUGCACUUACUUUUGUCUUAUAUCUUCUUUGAAUUCAUUCUAGCCAGCUCUUUACAUGUGGGACUGCAUUAGAAAGAAUCCUAUAUUUAAAAGCUUACAGAAUGUCUGGUUUCAUGUAGACACUAAGUUCCUCACCCUUCUUGCUGUCCAGGGUUAUUUGGUCUUGUUUACCUGGUUGUAAGGAAACGUUUUUGUUCCCUGCCACAGUUGCCUAGUUGGUGCAGUGUUUAACUUUGCACUUACUUUUGUCUUAUAUCUUCUUUGAAUUCAUUCUAGCCAGCUCUUUACAUGCUGUGACAGCUUUUAUGCUUUCUCUUUGAUCUUGCUUGUCAUUUUGCAUUUUUUUUUCCUUUUGAUGGAGAAUGGACUACUUUGUUAAAAUUACCCAAAAUACUGAUAGUUCAACCAAAGAUAUUUGUAACUCACUGAACAAAUAUACUUAUGAAGAGUUCAGAGCAUCUUAUCAAAUUGAUGUUUCAGUUUUGAUGAACUUUUUUUCCAAGUCUCUUGUUGUUCUAUCUUCUGGGACUUCUUUCAGGAUGCUUAAAACUCUCAGAUUGAGGGAGUUAUAUCCUCUAGAUAUAUUGAGGCAUUUAAAUCAGUUGUCUGGAAAAGGAAAAUUUUUUUUUUUAACUUUUUGGUCUUUUGUACUGCAGUAU